UUUUGUAAAUAACUGAACUUCUUUUUUUUCCAAUCUGAUUUUCAAAGGUAGACGUUUGUCAAGAAUUCAUUCCACUUACAUGAAGAUUCACAUCGUAAGUACACUCAUCUUCAGAAUUUUGGCCAAAGUGAUUGAAGUUCGAGAAGUUAACAGUUGUGUGUACAACAGAGACGGAAGCCAAUCUUCUAGUAACAUCCUAAGAGACAUUUUUAUGAACUUCAGAGCAGGAAGUAAUCUUUCAUCAGAAGCCAGAUGAAAUGCGUGACCCUAUUUUCCUUCCUGUUUCACGCCCUAGGUGGUAAGAUAAAAACCCAGCUGGGAUUUGUCUCCUGCCUCCCCAGGUGAUCGGGAAAUUGCUGGAGGGAGGUUCCUGGGCUGACUCAGAGCUUCAAAGCACGGUUCCGAAGGGUGGUACCAGCACGCUCCUCAGAGCUACUGCACUGGGGAGCCAGUCAGGACCACCCGCUGUUGUUGCGCGGAGGCUGCUGGUGUCACGGUACCCGCGGUACCCCGGGGGAGCGCAGAGCAGCCGGGGCCGCCCGACACCCGCUGGGGCAUCGGCACAAGGGGCCGGGGCUCCGGGCACUGCAGCGGCCGCGAGCUGCCCGCUCCGGGAGGCGCGGGUGGACCGGCGGCCCCAGGGCCUUGAG
rnacentral:lncRNA from 1 species